rnacentral:piRNA from 1 species
UGGUACAAGCUGCUGUUGACUGUG